rnacentral:tRNA from 1 species
CGCCAGCUCGCGGAGUUCGGCCGCGAUGCCCGUGAUCGGGCCACCCGGCGAAACCUGCGCCGCAGGUUCGGGUGCGGAGUCCUGGAUCGGCGGC